CAGCCCCGUGGUGUUUCACGUUGGAUUGCAACCCCAAAAACGCCCCAUUAAGGUGCCGGGGCU
rnacentral:tRNA from 1 species